UAGUUUAUUUUCCCUGCUCAACAAUUUUUAUUUGACCACGAUGUAAAUCAAAUUCAUUAAAAAAAAAAAGCUGGUAACGUAAAAUUGAAGAGCCAAUAAUUAAGUUCAAAUACAGAGUUUGUAAAAUAAAAAAUGUAUCCACUUUUAUCCCUAAAGUCCAAAUCCUCCGCCAACAAAUAUUUGGUGUGAAGUCAGUCACAGAUUGUUUACCCAAGGAAUAAGGUUUAAAAUCCAGUAAAUCUGAGUUAUUUAUUUUGUAUUAAUAGAAGCUACGUUACUUCAGUUUAUUGCAUUUUGCAGGACUUCCACCAUUUCUGAAAGGAAGGGCAACCUGGCAUGCAUGGCGUGGGGGGAAAGCAACAAGUUCUGAGUCACAGGCCAGUAUCCCAGCUCUGCCAUUUAACAGCUGUGUGACCUUGGACGUCGUACUCCUCCUCUCAGUCAACUUCAUUUGUAGCACAAGAAUAACAAUACUUACCUUGCAGGGUUGUUGUGCAAAGUGAGAUGCUAUGUACAAAGCUAACCUAAAGAGUUAAAUGGUAACCAUUAUUUCAUAUAAAUUAACUAAACAAAGAACCUACAAUGUUAAAUAUCAACCUGACUAGCUCAAUUUCCACACAGAAUGUAGACAUGCAUGGCAUUUGUUAAGCCCUUUAUGGUAAGCUUACUCUAUUCAAUGUUAACUUUGUUUAAGCUGAGAAAAUUUAUGCAAACUAAAUCCACAAGGUGCAACCCAGCGACAGAUGCAGCUGACAUCACUUUAAGGCUAAAAAAAUUUGAGCUAAAUGUGUGGCAGACACUGCAGCCUGUGUGAAAGUUGAAGGGUCCCGUACUCUGUACAGGAAGGGAGACAGGUUCGUUCUCUCUAAAUGGGGGAGAAUGGGAUUUUGGGAAGGCUACUAUAUAUGAAACAUGAGAAGCCUUAGGAAGAAACGAGGAUGUUAGCAAUUAAGGAACCACUGUCCAAUUUUGCUUGGAAAGUCAAAAUUUAGGGACCUCAUACCAUCUUGUCUAACUCCCUACCUCCAAGCAAAUGCAAUCUUGGAAGAGAUCACAAAAAUGAGCUUCAAGGAAUGAAUUAAGCACCCAAGAGACCAAAUUACUCACAUAACCUGAAAGCUCUCAAUUUUGCUUGAAGGUUGAGAAGCUUUUUGUAUUACUUAUCCAGAGUUCAGGUUUUAGAAUAAACUUUUACCAGCAAUAUCCAGAUUAAAGCCUACUAUAAAUCAAGAAGACUUCCUAGCACUAACUUUCCCAACUGCUACAAAGGCGAAUAAAUUUGGUUCUUCCUUGUUUCCAGGGAGUGCCAUUUUCUUAGAAGAACCAGAAGAAUUACACUUUUGGGAAAACUCAAGCUCAUUAACAUGUAUGUUUAUCUCAGUAAAGUGAAGAAUAAUUCACUAGAGAGAUGACUUGUUCUUACUCCCUUAUUUCUGUAGCUAUUGAUAUAAUUCUUCCCACUGCAUUUGCCACUCCAGAGGAAGUUCCUAGGCAUUAGUAUACUCUCAGGUUCCUCCCUAGACCUCCUGUACUAGAAUGUUCAUUUUGGAGAACCAUAGGUGAUCUGUCAACACUAAGAAGCACGACCCUGUAUUACAUUAGUGACCUGAAGUGAAUACAUUAUGUACCUACCAAACAUUUCCUACAUGCCAUUCAAAAAGUAUGCAUGAAUACUGUUGUAGUUUAUCUAGUGAAAGGUGGUGUUCUUAUCUGAAUAAAUGUGUGAGCCCAUAGGCUUGAAAUGGAACGCAAACUGCUAUCCUUCAUCCAUUCCUGUCUGUUCAUUCCCAUCAGGUGCUACUUUGAUACAACAAAGGAUUCUUAUAUGAAGUUUUUUCUCCAAUUAUGGAAGCCAGGAUAUUUGUUUUACCUGUAUCAAAAGCAAUCUAAAUUAUUUCAUUAGGGUAAAAACACACCUAAUUCUGAAGAAUAGUACUUACAUAGCAUCUCUCACCAAAAGAUCACUGGAACAAAAUGGCUUCAUAAAAAAUUAGGGCUAUUACUAAAGGCCUAAAUUCUAGCUGAAGCUAGAAGUUUCUAUAUUUUAAAAGAGCCAAAUCCUUUGAUCUUCUGAGCCUAACAGAAACAGGCGUUGGCACUUAUAAGAACAAUUAUUUAGACUCAAGUGACAAAAAUUUUCUACCUUUUUACAUCUUUUACUUACCUAAUCACCCUGGACUCAAAGUCCUCUUGAAGCAAUCCCGUUUUCAAUGAGCAUAUGUUGAUUACAUGUAAACUCAAAAGUUACAUGAGCAAUCUUACUUUACUUUCAUAUAAAAUUUUUUAUAGUUUAACUUGGGGUCCUAAUUUUUUUAUUUUUUGAGAGACAGGGUCUCACUCUGUUGCCCAGGGAGUGCAGUGGUGUGAUCAUAGCUCACUACAGUCUCCAACUCCCGGGCCCAAGAUGAUCCUCCUGCCUCACCCCAUUGACUAGCCAGUACUACACGCACAGGCCAUUAUGUCCGGCUAAUUUUUUUUUAAUUGGAUUCCUAAUGUAAAAUCUCAGUCCUCUAAUUAUGAAGUUAUCUGAAGGCAAUUUUCAAAUUUACUGUAUCUGUCACAAAUAAUGGUAUGUCAAUUUUUAUUAAGAUUUUUUUUUCGACUUUCUCUUAAAGUAAGAGCUGUCAAUUUAACAGAAAACCCCCAAAGCACCAGUGAUGCAAACAGUUAACUACAAAAGCUUAACACUGGGCGAGGGACCACAAAUGCGUAGAUACCAACUCUACCAAGAAAAAAUCUAUUCGAAUUACUGAUUCAAUUAUCAAAACUGAUUAAAGAAAACUUUACCCUUCAUUUAUUUAAAAAAAAAAAGCUUACUCCACAACUUGUAAUGUUUAUUACAUAUGCCUGUAACUACAUCUUUAAGAAAGCAAAUGUAACCAGCACAUUCAAAUUCAGAAUAACAUUUGAAGUAUCAAGAUGAAGCAAAUCCAUCAAACGUCAAUGAACGCUAGUUUUAUUUAAGGUGAAAUCCUCUCCCCACACCCAUACAGGCUGGAGGUUUCAGUUGGCAAGGAUCCCUAACUCCUGUUUAAGAUGUCACCUUGCCUCCUGGACACACCCAUCGCUGUAACCACUUGGCAGGAGGAACCACAAAGUAAGUAUCACAGAUCACCGCCCUCAUUAGGUGUUUUUUUUUGUUUUUUGUUUUUUUCAGGAAAGAACAUGAUCUCCCAGUCUGAGGUGACCGGAAAAUGCUUUAAAAAAUUCCCUGCUCCUCCCCCGCGUACACUCUUCCAUCACAGUAUUUGACAGACAAACAUCAUACAAACGAAGUGUACGUCAAGACGACCUGGCAACUUCUACACGGAAUUUAGGGGUCGUUUUCAAAGCAGCAGCAGGAGAGCAAUGUUUUUAUGUGGUCGUGGUUCUUGAACAUUAGGACUGCACACUGUUUUCAAGCAUAGAAUAGGGACAGGGGCUCUUCAAAGGCAUCCAUCCAACUGUUACAAGACCGACUUUCAGAAGGCAGUCACUCCGGAGCUUGCUUCCCUCCGGCGGUGAACAAGAAACGCCUUGUAGAACCCUAGCUGGAGCCGAACACUUUCCCUAACAAGAUGUAUAUUGCGAGGAUGCGCCCCUGACUUCAGGGGUAAAACUAAUUUCUUUCAACGACAGACACUUUAAAAAGCAAUUUUUUUUAAAGCAUCCGGCCUGGGUGGUGGAAGACGCCCCAGGGCCCAGACGGAGCAGGAAAAUUAGGGUUGCCAGAGGGGGAUGGGAAACCGUCGAGGCCCCCCUCCCCCGCCCAUCCCCGCCAACGGCCCCGCAGCGCCACGGAGAUCUCCGCAGUCCUGCAGGUGCCAGCACAGCAGCUGGAGCUCGAGCGGGGCCGAGCGGGGCGGAGGCUCCGGGUCCCGCGCGGCGCUCGCCAGCCCCGCCCCCACCGGCCGCUCCCUGCGCCGCGCGAGCUCGGCCCACACAGCGCGCCGCCCGCUCGCCCGCGCGCCCCCUGGAUCCCAGCACGCCGAGGACGCGGGCUAACUGCGACGCCGGCGCUCGCCCCAGGGCCCCGCGCGCUCCUCCCGCCCCCUGGGCGCAUGGCGGCCGCAAGCGGACAAAGGCGCUUCCUGGCGCCCGCACUAACCGUCGGUCGGGUGGAUUGAAUUCGGGCCCUGCUUGACCUUUCCAGACGCCCGACAGAAAGCUCUCUGCGCUCCCUCUCUCCCUUCCUUCACUUUCUCUCCUUCCCGUGCACUGGGCUGUCCCUCAUCCCGGACCCAUCCUCCUCCAGCCAAGCCCCCGAGGAGCUUCACCACCUCGGGAACUGCCCAGCGCCGGCAGCUCAGCGAUGCACUCACCAUGCUGCAAGCGCUACCGGUUUCCGAGACGCGACCACACAACCACUCAGCUCGCUCUCUCCACUCGGACUAAUUCGCCUCCUCCGCCCCCAGCGCCUCAUAAACACCUCCCUCCGCCAGAUCCCUCCGCCGCAUCCAGAUAACGGAACAUCGCAAACGAGUCCCGGCCAACCCCCUCCCCUCAAACUCUUCUCGGGACCCCUUUCUUCACAGUUAUUUGGUCGAUGAGGCAAGAGAUCAAGGAAAGUGGGCGAACGGAUGACGUAAGUGGGUUUCAUUUCCAGCGAGCCGUUAAAAGGCCGGUGGAGCGGCCCCUGAGGGGCGCUACUUUGCGGCGCGGCGGAGCAUCGUGGCGGCGAUGCGUCCCCGAUGGUCGUUGAGCCGGUCUCUGAUUGGCUGGUUUGUACCUGCAAUGCGUCACUCGGACUCGCAGCCGCCGCCGGGACGCGGUGCGGCUUCUGCCGUUGCUGCUCGCGCCGUGCUGUCCUGGCAACUGCGCCAGGCGGCAGAGUCGCCAGCUUUGCGCUUGGCUGGAGAACAUUCCUCUUCCACGUAUCCUUCCCUGCCACACUCACCCACUUUCCCGCCCCUUAUUGAGGGGUAGACGAAAACACCUUAAGCCGAUAAAGAAUGAAGCUGAAAGAUUCCGAUAAA